rnacentral:misc_RNA from 1 species
GAGGCAGCUGUGUGCAAGUCUGCUCCAGAUUUCACUCAGUUGGACCUAGGAUAUAGAAUUUGUCAUGUUUAAUUCUAAUAUUUGUAUGCUCUUCUAUUCCCAAAUGGACUACCCUUCUGUUUAAUGGAUAUAAUUAAAGUUUCUGAGAUAAAUGCCUGCAACUUAUGCUCUAGUUUUGCUUGUAGACUGAGAGAGGAUUGAAAUUAAGUGUUUCAAUAAAAAAUUUAUUCCCUUGAAAUUUCUUUGUGGUGUGUUUUAUGUUCUUGGCUAUCUAGUGAUAUAAAAGCCAAGCUAUUAUGGAUAGUGGUUGGCGAUUUCAUGCCAAAUUGAUUUUAAUUAUGUGUCUACUGAAACAGGGAGAUGAAUUGAAGGUGAAAG